rnacentral:tRNA from 1 species
GCCAUGGCUCAGUGGUAGAGCAUUUGCUUUGCACGCAGAAGGUCCCGCAUUCAAUCUUUAGCACCU